rnacentral:rRNA from 1 species
UACGUAGGUCCCGAGCGUUGUCCGGAUUUAUUGGGCGUAAAGCGAGCGCAGGUGGUUUAUUAAGUCUGGUGUAAAAGGCAGUGGCUCAACCAUUGUAUGCAUUGGAAACUGGUAGACUUGAGUGCAGGAGAGGAGAGUGGAAUUCCAUGUGUAGCGGUGAAAUGCGUAGAUAUAUGGAGGAACACCGGUGGCGAAAGCGGCUCUCUGGCUUGUAACUGACACUGAGGCUCGAAAGCGUGGGGAGCAAACAGG